rnacentral:rRNA from 1 species
GUCCUUUUGAAUUUAAUUGAAGGUCUGACCUGCCCAGUGAUUAAUUUAACGGCCGCGGUAUACUGACCGUGCAAAGGUAGCAUAAUCAUUAGUCUUUUAAUAGAGGGCUGGAAUGAAAGGUUUGACGAGGAAUUGACUGUCUCAUUUUAUUUGUUUUAGAAUUUAAUUUUUUAGUCAAAAAGCUAAAAUGUAGUUGGAAGACGAGAAGACCCUAUAGAUCUUUAUAUAAUGUUAUUUAAUUAUUUUAAUAUUAAUAUAUUUAAAUUAUGAUUAUAUUUUGUUGGGGUGACAAAAAUAUAUAAUUAACUUUUUUAUCUAUUUACCAUUGAUAAAUGUAUACUAGAUCCAUUCAUAGUGAUUGAUAGAAUAAGUUACCUUAGGGAUAACAGCGUAAUCCUCCUCCAGAGUUCAUAUUUACAGGAUGGGCUUGCGACCUCGAUGUUGGAUUAAGAUAAUAAUUAGGUGUAGCCGCUUAAUUUAUAGGUCUGUUCGACCUUUAAAUUCUU